UUAAAAUAAGGUUAGAGUGUACCUAUGAUAUAUAUUUCUUAAAUCAGAACGAUUUAUCUUUUCCAAUUGAACGAAUAGAAAACGUUAGUGUUUAUACUUUCUGCAUUCUCGCGUGUUAAUUUGUGCGAAUACAAUGGAAGGAUAUAACUUGGCGUGGCGUAAUAGGGCGAGAAUGAAAUUUAAUACGAACAUACAUUGAUCAAUUGUCAAUUAAUUCGAUCUUGUUAGUAAGUAGGCAUACAAUAAUCGACCAUGCCCAUUCACAAGAACACUGUCAAUGAACGUGUUGACAAGGUUUUAUGUACCGUGUCUCGAGCAACGUUUUAGUAUCGUGCAUAUUAUAUCGAAUAAUUGGUUCUUUGUGCCUCAUCACGUGUUCUCCUCGUUGAAACGUACGAAUGCGAUCAAUCAAAGAUAAAUUUCUACAGUGAAGUUACAGAUAUGAGUGAAGUCCAUCAUUUAGAUAA